rnacentral:rRNA from 1 species
UAGGGAAUCUUCCACAAUGGGCGAAAGCCUGAUGGAGCAACGCCGCGUGUGUGAUGAAGGGUUCCGGCUCGUAAAACACUGUUGUAAGAGAAGAAUGACAUUGAGAGUAACUGUUCAAUGUGUGACGGUAUCUUACCAGAAAGGAACGGCUAAAUACGCGCCAG